rnacentral:lncRNA from 1 species
AUGGACGCCCCGCAGGCUGUGCCCAGCCGUCCCUCCCUGCUCCAGCUCCUCAGGGGGCUCUUCGGCUACCACCGAAGCGCUCUGGGGACACAGGGGCCCAGAGCGGAGCGCCAAGAGCCGGGCACCACCGGGGACCCUGGCAGUUCGCAGGGGGAGCGGGUCUCACCUGCCCGCAGGGAGCCCGGGGGCCAGCAGGGCCCGUACUGGGAGCCCCUGGGGGAUGCGGAGAGGGAGGGCACGGAGCUGCUGCGGGAGCUGCGGGAGCUCAGCCUGGGGGGCUCCCUGGGGAGCAGCAGGAGCUGCCUGAGCGCCGGCACCAGCGACACUGAGCUGGAGGUGGCCGGUGACGGGCAGGAGGCUCCUGCUGGCGGCGGGGCCCAGCAGGAUGCAGCUGGCGGGGUGGCCCCGGCAGAAGCUUUCGGGGACAAAGCUCUGGAGAUGGAUGGGCUCCUCCAAGGUCCGGGUGCUGCUGCUGAAGACAUUACGGGCUCUGCAAGUCCCGAGCUGACAUUUUCUGCGGGCUUUGAUGCUGAAUGGGACAAAGGGCAGCUCCUGAAAGCCUCACGUCUCGGGCAGUUCGCUGGGACUGGAGAGCGAAGAGGAGCCGCUUUUGGAGGCGGCUGACGGCAGCCCCGCGACGCUGGAGCUGCGCGCAGAGCCCCGCGGCGCGCUCCCUGCCUACAGGUUUUCUGAAGACAGACUGGGAGAAACUGUUGGCUGCUUUGGGAGAAGCCGGGUGGAGCUGGGAGCAAGCGACGCAGGAGCCCUUGGAUAAGGAUGAGAUCCAGCACCGGGCAGGGAUGGGGAGCAGCCCCCAGCAGAGCCGCCCACACCAGCAGCCCUCCUGGAGGAGACCUGGCGCUUCCCCUCUGUCCCCCGAGGAGCCCCUUGCUCCAGCUUCCUCCUCCUCUUCCCCCCUGUUUGUCUCUCAUGUACAUGCCCCGUUUUCUUCCUGCUUUCUCCCGUGCCCGUUGAGUGGGGAAGGACCCGUGGGUCUCACUGCACAGACUGGCACGGCCAGGUUUGGUUUGAAUAUUUUUAGAUUCAGCAUUUAGUGUGAAUAAAUUGUUCUUGCUUCUCUCCCUGAUUAUUUAC